CGGCCAGCCGGCUUGGACUUAUAACACUCGUGUGCAACAGCCAUGGAAACCCCCGAACAACUGCACCUGCGCAGUUCAUCGCCGAGCGAUCAGCCAUUCUGUCGGGUGCCGGAAUUUCAAGUGGACGCGCCUGUUCCGGUUUCUUCGUGUCCUAAGAUGGCAUCUCGACCGAAGCAUUGUGCUUUGAAAUGAAGACCCGCUACCUGUUUCGCCAGUGGGCCUGGAAGAGCGGCUAUGGAUGCUACGUCCAAACCCGCAUUGCCUUCUACGUCCGCCUUGUGCCUCUUGGAUGGGCAAGGCGAUCUUCGGGAUACCCCUGUACUGCGGCCAUGCUGUGUGCGAGUCCCCAACGAUUCGCCUCCUGUUCCCUGCCUCUUGCUUGCCAAACCCACAUUGCCUUCUACGUCUGGCUUUUGCCUCUUCGAUGUGCAGGGCAAUCCUGCGGAUACCCCUGUACUGCGGCCGUGAUGUGUCUGUGUCCACAAGGGUUCGCCUCCUGGUUCCUUCCUCUUGCUUGCCGAACCCGCAUUGCCUUUCACGUCCAGCCUGUGCCUCUUCGAUGGCGAAGGCUAUCUGCCAGAUACCCUUGUACUGCGGCCAUGGCGUCUCUGCGUUUAUAAGGCUUCGUCUCCUGCCACCCCCCCCCCCUCAAGCUUGCCUUCUGGUGAAUACAUCCCACAAGAUACUAUAUUGCUGUGGUCUGCCCUUCGGACUUCACUUUGUGUGAGAACUGACUGUCUUCAGCGUUGCUGUUCGUCAUAACUCCGCUGUGACUACCAGUGGAUGAACAGUGGGUGACAGACUGCAUCUUGUGUUCGCUCUGUGAGACGUGCCAGCGACUUCUGGAUCUACCCUGGGCUACUAGCUGCACUUCAACUGCUGCGCAACACCUCCACAUCGGUGAUUUACAACCUAUUAUAGGAAAUAGAUGUUUAAAUGGUAGUCUGAAGGCCUACAGAAUCUAAUGCACCUCAAAACAGUAUGCUGUUCAGUGGCUA